GAUGAACGCUGGCGGCGUGCCUAAUACAUGCAAGUCGAGCGAACAGACGAGGAGCUUGCUCCUCUGACGUUAGCGGCGGACGGGUGAGUAACACGUGGAUAACCUACCUAUAAGACUGGGAUAACUUCGGGAAACCGGAGCUAAUACCGGAUAAUAUAUUGAACCGCAUGGUUCAAUAGUGAAAGACGGUUUUCCUGUCACUUAUAGAUGGAUCCGCGCCGCAUUAGCUAGUUGGUAAGGUAACGGCUUACCAAGGCGACGAUGCGUAGCCGACCUGAGAGGGUGAUCGGCCACACUGGAACUGAGACACGGUCCAGACUCCUACGGGAGGCAGCAGUAGGGAAUCUUCCGCAAUGGGCGAAAGCCUGACGGAGCAACGCCGCGUGGGUGAUGAAGGUCUUCGGAUCGUAAAACUCUGUUAUUAGGGAAGAACAAAUGUGUAAGUAACUAUGCACGUCUUGACGGUACCUAAUCAGAAAGCCACGGCUAACUACGUG
rnacentral:rRNA from 1 species